rnacentral:rRNA from 1 species
UACGGAGGGGGGCUAGCGUUGUUCGGAAUUACUGGGCGUAAAGCGCACGUAGGCGGCUUUGUAAGUUAGAGGUGAAAGCCCGGGGCUCAACUCCGGAAUUGCCUUUAAGACUGCAUCGCUAGAAUUGUGGAGAGGUAAGUGGAAUUCCGAGUGUAGAGGUGAAAUUCGUAGAUAUCUGGAAGAACACCAAUGGCGAAGGCAAUGUUCUGGCUCGUUUCUGACGCUCAGGUGCGAAAGCCAGGGGAGCGAACGGG